AGAGUUUGAUCCUGGCUCAGGAUGAACGCUAGCGACAGGCUUAACACAUGCAAGUCGAGGGGCAGCACAGGGUAGCAAUACUUGGGUGGCGACCGGCGCACGGGUGAGUAACGCGUAUGCAACUUACCUAUCAGAGGGGGAUAACCCGGCGAAAGUCGGACUAAUACCGCAUGAAGCAGGGGCCCCGCAUGGGGAUAUUUGCUAAAGAUUCAUCGCUGAUAGAUAGGCAUGCGUUCCAUUAGGCAGUUGGCGGGGUAACGGCCCACCAAACCGACGAUGGAUAGGGGUUCUGAGAGGAAGGUCCCCCACAUUGGUACUGAGACACGGACCAAACUCCUACGGGAGGCAGCAGUGAGGAAUAUUGGUCAAUGGCCGAGAGGCUGAACCAGCCAAGUCGCGUGAAGGAAGAAGGAUCUAUGGUUUGUAAACUUCUUUUAUAGGGGAAUAAAGUGGAGGACGUGUCCUUUUUUGUAUGUACCCUAUGAAUAAGCAUCGGCUAACUCCGUGCCAGCAGCCGCGGUAAUACGGAGGAUGCGAGCGUUAUCCGGAUUUAUUGGGUUUAAAGGGUGCGUAGGUGGUGAUUUAAGUCAGCGGUGAAAGUUUGUGGCUCAACCAUAAAAUUGCCGUUGAAACUGGGUUACUUGAGUGUGUUUGAGGUAGGCGGAAUGCGUGGUGUAGCGGUGAAAUGCAUAGAUAUCACGCAGAACUCCGAUUGCGAAGGCAGCUUACUAAACCAUAACUGACACUGAAGCACGAAAGCGUGGGGAUCAAACAGGAUUAGAUACCCUGGUAGUCCACGCAGUAAACGAUGAUCACUAGCUGUUUGCGAUACACUGUAAGCGGCACAGCGAAAGCGUUAAGUGAUCCACCUGGGGAGUACGCCGGCAACGGUGAAACUCAAAGGAAUUGACGGGGGCCCGCACAAGCGGAGGAACAUGUGGUUUAA
rnacentral:rRNA from 1 species